UGUUAAACAGAACCAGUUACGUUUUGAAUUUCCAGCAGCAAUGAAGAUAGUUUUGGUUUUCAUAGUUUUAGUCGUUAAAGAAUUCGAAUGUACUUCUACUAAUAACUUGUUGAUUCACCCAAAUUUAAUUACUGACGACAUGAAACAUAUCCCUUGGAUGGAAAAGUUUAUAGAAUAUAAUGAAGUUACGCGAUCAGACAAAAUAUGUUGCUUGAGAAAGAACUUGGAACAAGUACAGAUAAUAAGAAAGAAGUUCAUGGCUGGGUAUUGUGAAAUUAUUGAUAGGCCCAAAAAUCUAGUAGCAGAAGUCAGGAAUGCAUUAGACCGCCUACGCCAAAUAUGGAAAAUUAUCACAGACGACCUAAAAGCACAUGAUGAACUGGAAAAACGUAAAAAAGGCGGUGUGAAGUCUCUCUUAAAAUCAUCUAGUGCGCUCUUUCCCAAAAUUUUGAAUCAUAUCGAGGAAAUGUGUCGAUUCGAAGCCGUGCAACCGGUUAAUAAAGAAUACAGGAAUCUCUUCUUAAAACUUUUUGUAGCAUUAAACUCCAUUAUGGGUAAAUCUUUAAAAUGUAUGUACAACAAGUGGAAUAUGUAUGAUACACAUGUAAAUAUAAAAUAUUUCUGAACAUUGUUAGCAUUUUAAAAUAAUAAAUUCUAACACCCUAUUUUUAUAAGCUA